GUGUUCAGUGUCCCAUAUGUUUGAAGGAGUUUGACUUUGAGGAAAUUGCUCAUCUUCUUCCCUGCAAGCACCAGUAUCACAAGGAAUGUAUUAUUCCCUGGCUGCAAAAGACGAACACGUGUCCCACCUGUCGCCUGGAGCUGCCCACCGACGACGAGGCGUACGAGGCGCAGCGCAAGUACAAGGCAGGAGCGAAACAGCGAGAGCAAACCCUAGAAGACCUGCACAACUCUAUGUUCGGUUGACGGCGAUUUGCAGUUGAUUUUUAGGUCCUCGUCAAAUCUCUGAAGAAUACAUAGUGAUAUAUUA